rnacentral:rRNA from 1 species
AGGAUUCCCCUAGUAACGGCGAGUGAAGAGGGAAAAGCCCAGCACCGAAGCCUGCGCAGUUUUGCUGUUAGGCAAUGUGGUGUUUGGGUCGGCUCGUGGGACCACCACUCCACUCGAAGUCCAGCAUUGAGUAUGGUUACUGGAUUUGGCCCAGAGAGGGUGAAAGGCCCGUACGGUGGAGUAUCAGACAUGUGAGGUGGUUCACCAGGUCGACCUUAGAGUCGGGUUGUUUGGGAAUGCAGCCCAAAGUGGGUGGUAAACUCCAUCCAAGGCUAAAUACAAGCACGAGUCCGAUAGCGAACAAGUACCGUGAGGGAAAGUUGAAAAGUACUCUGAAGAGAGAGUAACCAGUACGUGAAACCGCAUGCAGGUAAACGGGUGGCGUCAAGCUGCAAGCCCGGAGAAUUCAGCCGGCUAGUUGUGUAUGCGCCUGGGCGAUCAGUCCAUCAGUCAGAGUAUGAUUGGGUAGUCCACUAGUAAACAGUGGGCCUGUCCGCAAGGCAGAUAUGUGUACCGGGUGGGUGCCGGAGCAUGCUAUCCGUCUGUGGACUGUCUAGCCGGUGCACUUUCUCCGUGGUCAACACCACGACCGGUGGUAUUGCCAGUCUGCUGUGUCCAAGUCGUAUUUGGUAGGUCCUUGUGGCCAACCGAGUGCGAUCACAGGCAAACUCAGUAAACGGCGUGAGGGUGUUUCGGCACUUUCAUGUGUUAUCGGCUACUGGUUGUCAACGGGCCUGCUCUGUGUUUGUUGUAGCCGACACAGGGUGGUUCGGUGGGGCAUGGUGGUAAGAAUAACUGUGCAAGGCACCGGGGUUAUCGGCCUCAAAUGCGUCCUGCGUCCACGUUACAAGUGUAGGUACUGUGUCGCCGCUGCCUGCUCGGUGCUGGGUGUGAUUGGCGUGUUGCCUGCGAAAAGUAGGCCGCCAAUGGCUCGGUUCGAGGUGGGUGGUUGGUGGCGUUGUCGACGGCGUGGGGCGUGGUGGGCCUAAUAGUCAGUGGU